AGCGAACGCUGGCGGCAGGCCUAACACAUGCAAGUCGAACGAAGUCUUCGGACUUAGUGGCGGACGGGUGAGUAACACGUGGGAACGUACCUUUUGGUUCGGAAUAACUGAGGGAAACUUCAGCUAAUACCGGAGAAGCUCUUCGGAGGAAAGAUUUAUCGCCAUUAGAGCGGCCCGCGUUGGAUUAGGUAGUUGGUGGGGUAAAGGCGCACCAAGCCUACGAUCCAUAGCUGGUCGGAGAGGAUGAUAAGCCACACUGGGACUGAGACACGGCCCAGACUCCUACAGGAGGCAGCAGUGGGGAAUCUUGCGCAAUGGUCGAAAGACUGACGCAGCCAUGCCGCGUGAAUGAUGAAGGUCUUAGGAUUGUAAAAUUCUUUUAGCAGGGACGAUAAUGACGGUACCUGCAGAAAAAGCCCCGGCUAACUUCGUGCCAGCAGCCGCAGUAA
rnacentral:rRNA from 1 species